AGAGUUUGAUCAUGGCUCAGAAUCAACGCUGGCGGCGUGCCUAACACAUGCAAGUCGCACGAGAAAGGGGACUUCGGUUCCUGAGUAAAGUGGCGCACGGGUGAGUAACACGUGAAUGAUCUACCUCCGAGUGGGGAAUAACCUAGGGAAACCUGGGCUAAUACCGCAUAACACUUACGAGUCAAAGCAGCAAUGCGCUUGGAGAGGAGUUCGCGGCAGAUUAGCUAGUUGGCGGGGUAAUGGCCCACCAAGGCGAUGAUCUGUAUCCGGCCUGAGAGGGCGCACGGACACACUGGAACUGAAACACGGCCCAGACUCCUACGGGAGGCAGC
rnacentral:rRNA from 1 species